rnacentral:lncRNA from 1 species
UGGCUUUUGUUUUGGAUGUGGGUGUAUGGCACACAGAAGAAUAAAGGAAUGUAAUGACACUCCAGCGAAUUUUAAGGAAUUGCCAGAAGACGAUUUACCUUUCUCUCUAGCCCUAAAAGCAGAAUCAAACUUGAUGGGGAAGGUAAAUAUGUGACUAGGAGCAAACAUGAAGAAAUCGAUGACACAAUGUUUCUAUUUAAGGGGAGAUCUGAUGAAAAAAAAG